CAUCUUCGAUAUGUGAGGGUGGUGCGGGCAAGCCACACUACGGUUUCUAGCCUAUUGUACCAUAUUACACUGGAGGCCUAAAAUUUACCAUGCAGUUGUUUGGUUGCAAAUAUUAAAGAACUUCAUGGAGUUGCUUGUGUGGAACCCUGUUAACGAUCGCUUGUCGGUUCUUGGUGUUAAGUGUGGUACCUCCGGCGGACAGAUUAUUUUGCAUACGCUGAGAAGCAAACAGACAUUAACCUGACAGUGCUCGAAUUGAAACUCCAUAAGCCAUGACACCUAUUACUGUUAGGUAAUGAAACUAAUCAAUUUGACUCAAGCCCUUAAGCUUUGGGAUCUAUGCUUGUAUACUUAGGAUCACAUAAAAAGCUUAGUGCUGCAGGUUAAUUGCGAUCUUUGACUUAUAUUCUGGACCAUAAGAAAUUGAGAGGGUUCGUUGUGCAACAGGCCGGCAAUAGAUCUCUUUGGUCUUUACUUUAUCCCUCAAUUUCAAGAUUUUACUCCUGAUGGUUUAUAUAUGUUCUUCUUUGUGAAAUUGGUUUUGGAUUGACAGAGACUUUGUGAACGUUUUAUUUGUUUAAUGCAGGUGAUUUGAAAUUGCAUGAAGCUGUUAUGUUUGACAUGAAUCAUGUAAAACGAGAUAGCUUCCUAAUCAGAGCACCUAUAGGUGUUUGGUUCACAUGUCCACAUACAAUACAAUGCUCAAAAAAUUCUUAUCAGUUUAAUUCUUAUCCGAUCACAUUCCAUAUUUUCCAGUACUCUUUGGAAGCAAGAUAAUUAAAAUUCUCAAAACAUUGCAUACUUCCUAGUCCACUCCUUGGCCGUUUCGACAAACUUCUUUUUGUCUUUCCGGAAGAGCAGGCAGGGUGGAUUGAGGGGAUCCACUGGGUUUGGAUCAUCGAGAAGUGAGCAUAUGGAGAGCAGGAGGCUCUCAAUGUUCUGCACUGGAUUCCAUUUAUCCUCUUCUAAAAUGUCGACGUAAAUAGUCCCGUCCUCGCCGUUAAUAUUUGGAUGAUAAACCUGCAAAGAACAAGUUCUGUAUGUAAAUCAUAUGAACUCAGCAUAUAUAGGAUUACAUAGAAACAGGAAAGAUUUGGUUUAAAGAGGGAAUUACAGGAAAGGUUGUGUUCUUCAA